CGAGUAAGACAGGUAAUCGCAGCUGCAGGAGCCGAAAGGCGGCAGGUGAGGAAAGUCCGGGCUUCACAGGGCAGGAUGCCGGAUAACGUCCGGUGGAGGCGACUCCAAGGAAAGUGCAACAGAAAUGAACCGCCAUAUAUAUGAUAUAUGGUAAGGGUGGAAGGGCAGUGUAAGAGACUACCGCCCUGCUGGUAACAGCGGGGGCACAUGUAAACCCCAUCCGAAGCAAGACCGGAUAAAGACAAUGUGGCGGCCCGUCACGUCUUAGGUAGGUCGCUUGAGCCCGCCGGCGACGGCGGGCCUAGAUAGAUGAUUACCCAACGACAUAACCCGGCUUAUCGUCUUGCUGGCAUA
rfam:Dorea sp. 5-2 genomic scaffold acPFE-supercont1.1, whole genome shotgun sequence.